rnacentral:rRNA from 1 species
AUGGCCUACCAAGGCGACGACGGGUAGCCGGCCUGAGAGGGUGACCGGCCACACUGGGACUGAGACACGGCCCAGACUCCUACGGGAGGCAGCAGUGGGGAAUAUUGCACAAUGGGCGCAAGCCUGAUGCAGCGACGCCGCGUGAGGGAUGACGGCCUUCGGGUUGUAAACCUCUUUCAGUAGGGAAGAAGCGUAAGUGACGGUACCUGCAGAAGAAGCGCCGGCUAACUACGUGCCAGCAGCCGCGGUAAUACGUAGGGCGCAAGCGUUAUCCGGAAUUAUUGGGCGUAAAGAGCUCGUAGGCGGUUUGUCGCGUCUGCCGUGAAAGUCCGGGGCUCAACUCCGGAUCUGCGGUGGGUACGGGCAGACUAGAGUGAUGUAGGGGAGACUGGAAUUCCUGGUGUAGCGGUGAAAUGCGCAGAUAUCAGGAGGAACACCGAUGGCGAAGGCAGGUCUCUGGGCAUUAACUGACGCUGAGGAGCGAAAGCAUGGGGAGCGAACAGGAUUAGAUACCCUGGUAGUCCAUGCCGUAAACGUUGGGCACUAGGUGUGGGGGACAUUCCACGUUUUCCGCGCCGUAGCUAACGCAUUAAGUGCCCCGCCUGGGGAGUACGGCCGCAAGGCUAAAACUCAAAGGAAUUGACGGGGGCCCGCACAAGCGGCGGAGCAUGCGGAUUAAUUCGAUGCAACGCGAAGAACCUUACCAAGGCUUGACAUGAACCGGACCGGGCUGGAAACAGUCUUUCCCCUUGUGGGCUGGUUUACAGGUGGUGCAUGGUUGUCGUCAGCUCGUGUCGUGAGAUGUUGGGUUAAGUCCCGCAACGAGCGCAACCCUCGUUCUAUGUUGCCAGCACGUGAUGGUGGGGACUCAUAGGAAACUGCCGGGGUCAACUCGGAGGAAGGUGGGGACGACGUCAAAUCAUCAUGCCCCUUAUGUCUUGGGCUUCACGCAUGCUACAAUGGCCGGUACAAAGGGUUGCGAUACUGUGAGGUGGAGCUAAUCCCAAAAAGCCGGUCUCAGUUCGGAUU